rnacentral:rRNA from 1 species
GACGAACGCUGGCGGCGUGCUUAACACAUGCAAGUCGAACGGAAAGGCCCUGCUUUUGUGUGGUGCUCGAUUGGCGAACGGGUGAGUAACACGUGAGUAACCUGCCCUUGACUUUGGGAUAACUUCAGGAAACUGGGGCUAAUACCGGAUAUGAGCUCCUGCUGCAUGGUGGGGGUUGGAAAGUUUCGGCGGUUGGGGAUGGACUCGCGGCUUAUCCGCUUGUUGGUGGGGUAGUGGCUUACCAAGGCUUUGACGGGUAGCCGGCCUGAGAGGGUGACCGGGCACAUUGGGACUGAGAUACGGCCCAGACUCCUACGGGAGGCAGCAGUGGGGAAUAUUGCACAAUGGGCGGAAGCCUGAUGCAGCAACGCCGCGUGCGGGAUGACGGCCUUCGGGUUGUAAACCGCUUUCGACUGUGACGAAGCGUGAGUGACGGUAAUGGGUAAAGAAGCACCGGCUAACUACGUG